UUCUCUACAGUCUGUACUUAUUGCGACAAAGUAUAUGUAACGUUCCCUGCUGGUUAAACCCUUACGUCACAAUCCAUUUUAACUAAUAAUCUGAUUUACACCGCUGCAACCUGAGCUUCGGCUCACUUUCUAGAAGACACUGCUUCAGACGUCUUGAUGACCAAACCGAAUGGAACACUCUCACUAUGAUGUCAUGACCUUAGCUGCCUUGCUUAGGAGUGAAGACUGCUUCACCAGGCCAGCAGUUCUCCUCAGUCCACUCCAAAGCCUUCUUUUCUUCAACAUCAAACUUCACAACCUAUUCACAGAACCCAAAAUGUCCUGCAUUUUACAGAUCAGCUCUUCUUAAAUAUGUAAAUACUGAUGUAAAUAAAGUAAACAAGCUCUCA